rnacentral:rRNA from 1 species
AGCUUUAAGUUUUAUUUAAAGUGAAGCCUGCCCAGUGCUAAUUUGUAAACGGCCGCAGUACCUUGACUGUGCUAAGGUAGCAUAAUCAGUUGGCUUUUAAAUGGAGUCGGGAAUGAAUGGAUUAAUAGGGUUAAGCUGUCUCUAUUAUAUUAAAUUGAAUUUACUUAUUAGGUGAAAAUACCUAAAUUAUAAAAGAAAAAAGACGAGAAGACCCUAGGAGUUUUAACUAAAUACUAUUUAUGAUAGUUAAUGUUUUUGUUGGGGCGACAUUGGAACAAGUAUAUUUAACUUCCUUUAUACUAUAAGCCGACUUUGUAUGUGAAUUUAAACUACCCUAGGGAUAACAGCGUAAUUCUUUUGAGUUUGCGACCUCGAUGUUGGACUAGGAAUUUGGUAGGCUAGCCGCCUACUUAUAUUGUUCUGUUCGAACUGUUUUUCCUACAU